GUGAAUCGAUGUCUAGUGGUCAUAGCAACAAGAGGCGUGUAGCUGUGAUUGUAGUGGCACCGCUGUUAGCAACGUUUCUCUUAGCUGCCGCUGUGAUUCUCCUUUGGAGAAGAAGGAAGACGAGAAACAACAAGAUGAAGAAUCAUGCUGACCAAGAAGAAACAGUGGAAGAGGAAAACUUUGGCAUACCUCUGUUUGAUUUGGGUAGGAUUGCAGAGGCCAUCGGAGACUUUUUCUUUGACAACAAGCUCAGAGAGAUUUGGCCCUAUUUAUAAGGGAAAGUUAACAGAGGGUCAGGAAAUAGCUAUGAAGAGGUUAUCGAAGACGUCAACACAGGGCCUGGAUGAGUUCAAGAAUGAGGUGAUGGUGAUCGCCAAGUUGCAACACCAGAACCUCGUUCGCCUUCUUGGCUAUUGCGUUGAGGGGGAGAAAGAAUGCUAAUCUACGAGUGCAUGCUCAAUGGAAGCUUGGGCACAUUCUUAUUUGAAAAAUAAGGAUAUUGGAAAACGAUUUAGUGAUGUUUGGAAAUUUGUUGAUGUAUGGAUGGUUUAGAACUUAUAAUGUUUGGAUUGUAUGGAUACUAGAUCUUUUGCAAUGUUUGCAUUUUGAUGUAUGAUAUGUUUGGAUUGUAAGGAUAUUAGAUGAUGUUUGCAUUUUGAUGUAUGAUAUGGUUGGAUUGUAUGGAUAUUUUGUGAUGUUUGAAUUUGAUGUAUAAAUUGUGAUUUUGUUUA